GACGAACGCUGGCGGCGUGCUUAACACAUGCAAGUCGAACGGAAAGGCCCUGCUUUUUUGGGCUGCUCUAGUUGCGAACGGGUGAGUAACACUUGAGUAACCUGCCCUUCACUGUGGGAUAACUUCAUGCAACUUGGUCUAAUACCGGAUAGGAGCUCCUGCCGCUUGGUGGGGGUUGGAUGGUUUCGCCGGUUGGUGGUGGACUCGCGUCUUAUCAGCUUGUUGGUGGGGUAGUGGCUUAGCAUGGCUUUGACGGGUAGCCGGCCUGAGAGGGUGAGCGGCCCAGUUGGGACUGAGAUGAGGCCCAGACUCCAACGGGAGGCAGCGGUGGGGAGUAGUGCACAAGGGGAGGAGGGAUAGUGUAGCAAAGCCGCGUGGGGGAUGAGGGCAUUCCGGUUGUAAACCGCUUCCGCCUGUGACGAAGCGUGAGUGACGGUAAUGGGUAAAGAAGCACCGGCUAACUCCGUG
rnacentral:rRNA from 1 species